GGUUGCUCAUCGGAAUAAAACUGGAUACAAAUGGUUUCCGGGCUUGCUCCAAGAUGUUUCGCACACGGUUCUGUGCUCUUUGGAGGUGCAUCUGGUACCAAGUCUGUAACUCAGGAAGCUGCAUCGAUGAAAUGUUGUAUGCCUUCUCGAUGGAAAUCUUGGGGUCCAAGCUGACGAACACACGUCGGGUCAGGAUCCUCUUCUCCGUUAAGAUGAACCCUGGUGUUUCUUGAAUCAAGAUGCCGGAGGAUGGUCCCAUCUCUGCGAUCGGGUCGGUCCGUAGCUCUUGGCACAGGAGCAGUA